rnacentral:rRNA from 1 species
CACACCGUAAACGAUGGAUACUUGUUGUUGGAGGUAUUGACCCCUUCAGUGACGCAGUUAACACGGUAAGUAUCCCGCCUGGGGAGUACGGUCGCAAGAUUAAAACUCAAAGAAAUUGACGGGGGCCCGCACAAGCGGUGGAGUAUGUGGUUUAAUUCGAUGCAACGCGAAGAACCUUACCUAGGCUUGACAUGUACUGGAAGACUACCAGAAAUGGUGUCGCUCGCAAGAGUCGGUACACAGGUGC